UACGAAGGGGGCUAGCGUUGCUCGGAAUCACUGGGCGUAAAGGGUGCGUAGGCGGGUCUUUAAGUCAGGGGUGAAAUCCUGGAGCUCAACUCCAGAACUGCCUUUGAUACUGAAGAUCUUGAGUUCGGGAGAGGUGAGUGGAACUGCGAGUGUAGAGGUGAAAUUCGUAGAUAUUCGCAAGAACACCAGUGGCGAAGGCGGCUCACUGGCCCGAUACUGACGCUGAGGCACGAAAGCGUGGGUAGCAAACAGGG
rnacentral:rRNA from 1 species